rnacentral:lncRNA from 1 species
GAGAGAGUGUGUUGACUUCUUAUAUACAUUACGAGUUACCCAAAGCCUAGGUCUUUCAUUCAAAUACAAUGGUGAUGAGUCCCAGAUAAGAGCACAGGACGGACAGAUUUUUCAGUGCUGACCAUCAGAUUGCAGCAUGAAGCUAACUUUGUGGAAGUAGUGUGAUUCUCAGGAAAGUGUUAAAUGUGAAAAGCAACUUUCAGUCGUUUGAAGAUAACAGACUCCUACACUCCAGGUAUUUUCAUUCAGAUUUUUACUGCUGUUACUCUGGACACAGCAAUGAGCAUGAAGAGCUAUCACAAGGAAACCUUUCAAAAUGCUCCAGAUGUAUGCAGUGUUGUUGUAGCCAUGUCAGCUCCAGGAUAUUAGAGAGACAAGGCAUAAGCAGCUGGUUGUCUAGCAGAUCCUUUGGGAACAGAUUGCAAAGAGAGAUAAUGGAGGUCUAGCUCCACUGGCACCCAAAGAUGGCACCUCUGCACCUUCCUUUGCCUGAGCAAUUCUGGUCCAAAAAUUAAAGAUUAAUCUGCCUCGUGACCUGUCCGGAAGAUCCUGGGGAUUUCUGAUCUCAGGCUGGAGUCAGUCCCAGACACCCAGAGCUCAGUCUCUGGUAACCAGCCUCAGCCCACCCUUACAACAGAAUUUCAUGCAGAUUCCAAGAGAAUUUUUACAUGCAGUUUGAGUCCUGAUCUGUCCACAAAGCUGGAAUGGGGUCACCUACAGAGUCUGAGUGUUUGCAUUGCCAAAGUGGGGCUGAACAGGACAUUGCAGCCGUA